rnacentral:lncRNA from 1 species
GACGUGGCAUCCUAGCAGCCCUAAUCAAUCAGGGAGUUCCCAGGUGACCGAAUACUUGCUAAUGUGCUGCCCAUCUACGAGAAGGAUCAUCCUGAUGUCCUCCUAUGACUACAUACCCACCUGGUGGAUGAGAUGCUGUGGGUGGAAGCUACCUGGACUGGAGCAAAGCUUCUGACACUGCCUCCUGCAGCAUUCUCCUGGAGAAGCUGGCAGUCCAUGGCUGGGAUGGGUACACUCUUUGCUGAGUAAAAAACUGCUAGGAGGGCCAGGCCUAGAGAGAUCCAGAUGGAAUCCAGUUCUGAGAGGCAUUCCUCAGGGGUCGGCGCUGCAGCCUGUCCUGUUCAGUGUAUUCACUGACGAGUCGGAUGAGGGAAUUGGGUGCACCCUCAGGAAGUUUGCAGAUGACACCAAGUUAGGAGGAAGCGUCCCACAGACGGACUGAGAUAGGCUGAAUCACUGGGCUGACUGCAACUGCAUGAGCUUUAAGAACGUCAAGAGCUGAGUGCUGCUUUUCGGCUACAGAACCCCCAGCCAUCGUCACUACAGGCUUGGAGCAGAGCGGCUGUAAGGCUGCACGGACGAAAAGGGUCUGGGGUGCUGGUGACAGCCGGCAGUGCCCUCCAGUCGCUGUGAUUUGCCAGUGGCCCCAGGGGUUCUAAAUUGCUAGCGGUUGUCCUUGUCCCAUCAACUGCAGCCCAGCCCAGCCCAGCCGCUCCCUACAAGAAGACAUGGCGGCCCUGGAGUGUAUCCACAGAGGGGCACCAAAGCUGGGAGGGGUCUGGAGCGCAAGACUUAACGGGGAGUGGGAGAGGGAGCUGGGAUGGUUCCGUGUAGAGAAGAGGAGGCUCAGGGCAGACCUUAUCGCUCCGUCCAGCUACCUGGAGGGAGGUUACAGUGAGAUGGGACCUCUUCUCCCAGGAUUGAACCAGGGCAGCUCAUGAGGAGGUGCUGAGUGUUUGAAAAACACUGAAGAUGACUUCAGGUUUUCAAGCAGAGCUCCACCAUGUGAACACAAGCAGCCGGUGCCAUCUCGAGAGGCCCUGGUGUUCCUGAGGUACCUGCCUGGGACUAAAAGUUGUCAGAGAGAACCUGCAGGAGACCAGAGCCCUUUGGGACUGCAGAUGGAGCCUGGAAGGAGAGCCCCAAGGGACCUAAUUGCUAGCAUUUGUCUGUCCCUGUAGCUGCAGCCCAGCCCGGCACUAAAUCCUCCCCCCCCACAAUAAGACAGUGGAUCGUUGGGGAUGAUCCACAGUUGAAGUGGCCACUGGAAUCCAAGAAACUCUUCCUGGUUCUUAGUAGAUAUCCAGAUAUCCACAAAACAUCCUGGAUUAUCUGUGGCAAACUCAGACUGAAAGAGUCGAGUGCAGGUCAUGCCAAGUAACUGUGGUAGAAUCCAUUAUUUGGGGAGAACAUCUCCUUUCAGCUAGGGAAGUUAAGUGGAACAGUGUGAAAAGAUCCAUCCGGCCAAUCCUCUGAGUAAGGGAAAAUCAAAUGUAUUGUGCUAUAGUGGCAGAAGGCAAACAUUAUUGGACUGUGCCUCAAUUUACUAAAAGCUGUCUAAUCCACUUAACCCAUGAGCAAAAACAAAUGGUCUAAGCGGAGUGAAGGACACUGAUUUGUGGCAUAACAUGAGGAAGACAGUAGAUUGCUGAUGUAAGAACUGUCAUGCUUGUGCCCUGACCAGUGCUGAUUAUGCUGGAGUAAAAGCCUCAGGCCAGCACCAGUGUGCCGAAGGCCCAUGGGAAUGACUGCAGAUUGCCUUUGCAGAACUUCAGCCCACGACAGCUCAGAGCAACAAAUGCAUCUUGGUAUUAGUAGUUCCUUUUUGCAACGGGGCAAUAGCCAUUUAUCCCUUCACAAAGGCCAGUGCUGAGAAACCAAAGGCUCUACAAUAUCAUUCAUAUAACUCUAUGUGUAGAGAAAAUGGCUUUGAUCCAAAAAGCUAAUAGUAUAGACAGAUAACAGAAAAGGCAGAAUACCAGAAGGCAUGCCACAACAGCAAAAUGACACAUCAGUGACAAUGAGCUUGUGUUUCUCUGUUUAUUUCAAAUAUGUUUUUUUCUCUCUUCUGCAUUGAUUGCCACAUUGUAGAAAGGAUUGAAGGGAAUAAAAAGCUAAAUAUAUUAGAAUUAUUCGGGAAG